GACAGAGGGUGCAAACGUUGUUCGGAAUUACUGGGCGUAAAGCGUGUGUAGGCGGCCGCGUAAGUCGGAUGUGAAAGCCCUGGGCUCAACCCAGGAAGUGCACUCGAUACUGCGUGGCUAGAGUACUGGAGAGGUUGGUGGAAUUCUCGGUGUAGAGGUGAAAUUCGUAGAUAUCGAGAGGAACACCGGUGGCGAAGGCGGGUCUCUGGGCCGAUACUGACGCUGAGGAGCGAAAGCGUGGGGAGCGAACAGG
rnacentral:rRNA from 1 species